CUCGUCCGUCCCGAGUGGGUUGGCUGUAGUUCCCCUCGGGACCAGGGCCAUGUUGAGCUGGGUGCUGGACAAAGGCAGGAUUGUCCUCCCGAAGCGCUUUCAGUCUAAGGAUUUGUUUGUCUGCACAAACAUGUCUCAAGAAAGUGAGCAUGGGAAAUGGACGGUAUCUAGCAGUGAUGAAAGUACAGAAGAAAAUGAUGAUAAUGCUGAAGAGCCAUCUACGUCUUCAUUGUCUCACAGUGGACACGGCAAAACUAGUGGAUCACAGUACCCAUGUUCAGAGGCUAGAAAAGUUGGUCACAAGAGAAAAGCCUCCCCUGUGAAAUUUAAUGAUACAAGUUUUCCAACAGGGAUUUCACCAGCAGAAAUCCAGAGAACUUCCCAAGAAGGUUUAGGCUGGUGCCUUUCAAGUAGUGAUGAGGAGCCUGAAUCUGAAGGUCAGCCACAGCAUGCACAAAAGGAAGCAGUCAAAGAGGAGAAAUACAGUGCUCCUAAAAUGCAGCCUUCAUGUAGAUUUGAAGAUAAUGAGCUCCCAGUGAGCCAAAAGCCAGAAAAACAUUAUAAGGUAGCAAGUGAAAGCCAGGACACUUGGGAUUUGUUGAAUGGAGGGAACCCUUUCCGAUUCUUUGUCACUAAAGUCAAAGGUAUUAAGUCUAAGUACAACUCUGGAGCACUUCACAUAAAAGAUAUUUUGUCUCCUCUCUUUGGGACUCUUGUAUCUUCUGCUCAGUUUAACUAUUGUAUAGAUGUGGCAUGGCUCAUAAGACAGUAUCCACAGGAAUUCAGGAAAAAACCAUUAUUAAUAGUACACGGUGAAAAGCGAGAAUCCAAGGCUGAGCUGCAUUCACAGGCACGCCCAUAUGAAAAUGUUCGCCUUUGCCAGGCUAAGCUGGAUAUUGCCUUUGGAACUCACCACACGAAAAUGAUGUUGUUGUUAUACGAAGAAGGUCUUCGAGUUGUGAUACACACAUCCAAUCUUAUUGAUGAUGAUUGGAACCAGAAAACUCAGGGAAUAUGGCUAAGCCCCCUAUAUCCACAGCUACCGCCUGGAACCACUGGUUCUGCUGGUGAAUCUGUAACCAAUUUUAAGUCUGACCUAAUACACUAUUUGAUGAGUUAUAAUUCCCCUACUCUCAAGGAAUGGGCUGACAUCAUCCAAGGGCAUGAUCUUUCAGAGACAAGAGUAUAUCUGCUUGGAUCAACCCCAGGACGAUACCAAGGCAACCAAAAAGAAAAAUGGGGUCAUCUUAGGCUUAGAAAGCUUUUGAAACAGUAUACAUCAGCAAUACCAGCACAAGAAUCUUGGCCGGUGAUAGGACAGUUUUCAAGUAUUGGAUCAAUGGGAGCUGACCAGUCCAAGUGGUUGUGCUCAGAAUUUCGAGAGAGUCUGGUUAUGCUAGGCAGUAGUGUGAAGACUCUAGCAAAACCUGACGUUCCUAUUCAUUUGAUUUACCCUACUGUGGACAAUGUGAGGCAAAGUUUGGAAGGAUAUCCUGCUGGUGGCUCUCUUCCAUACAGUAUACAAACUGCACAGAAACAACUUUGGCUACACUCUUAUUUCCACAAAUGGUCAGCAGAAACCUCAGGCCGCAGCCAUGCUAUGCCUCACAUUAAGACUUACAUGAGGCCAUCUCCUGACUUCCAGAAGAUUGCGUGGUUUUUAGUUACAAGUGCCAAUCUUUCCAAAGCUGCCUGGGGAGCUCUAGAGAAAAACGGCACGCAACUGAUGAUUCGUUCAUAUGAACUUGGAGUCCUUUUUCUACCUUCAGCAUUUGGAUUGGAUACAGGUUACUUCCAUGUGAAGAAGAAAAUGUUUUCAGGAAGUAAUGAGCCAGUGACAUCUUUUCCUGUGCCUUAUGAUCUGCCCCCAGAGCAAUACGGAAGCAAAGAUCGCCCAUGGAUUUGGAAUAUUCCUUAUACCAAAGCACCCGAUACACAUGGAAACAUGUGGGUUCCAUCAUAAAAGCGUCAAACCCACUGUGAGAUUUCAGCAUCUGACGCUGAGCCUCCUACCAUAGCUGCAUGUAUUCCACUUGGGUGACUCCCAAACAGUACUGUUUGGAGGUAAGUUCAGAGCCUACUUAAAUAAUGAUUGAAAUAUGACUUUGCCAAAGUUCACAUCCGAUCUAGAGGUGGUUGUGACCACAUUGUGCAAAGUAAAUGUAUUUACUGAGGACCCUACAGAUGUCCAGAAUGGGAACAUCCUCGAAGAAAGUAAUGGAUGCAUCCUGAGCCCUUGCAGAAUGGGCCAAGAGUCUUUGUGGAGGUGGAAUAUUGACUGCCCUGUAUGCCGUUGUAAUGCAAGAGGUUAUCCAAUGAGACCUCAUUUGUGCUGACACUGCCUUGGCCCUUCAUGUGAUCUACAUAAGACACAAAAUGACAAGAAGACUGUGUGAAGGACUUGGUCCUAUCCUAGUUAAAAGCCAGUGCUCUCCUGACAUUUGACUUACAUGGAUGUUCCUCAUCUCUGUUAAUUUGCAGUUUGUGGAAGAAGACCAGAGAAGUAUUGUCUGGUUUAAAUGAAAAGCUGAUGCAACUGUAGAUAAAAACUUCAGGUGUGGUCAUAAGGCUACUUAGUCUUUGAAGAGCACUGUGUAAGGAGGACCUGCCUGUGACGCUGGCAGAUCAGGUGCCAGCUUAUGCCAAGGUCCCUGUGCCUAACUUGAAUACUGACAGACAAAUAGCUGGAUCAGUCUGUUUCACCUGUGUGUUCGUAUUGUUAAAAUAGGUAUUAGACUUAUAAACAUGUUUAGUGUUUAGACUUUAUUGAACGCUUGUAAAUUGCUGCAUGCAGUAAUCCCACUUGUAACAUUUGUAUACCAUAUUGUAAAGUAAUGUUUAAGCAUUUGCAUUGGAAGCCUCUGUAACCAUAUAACCAGAAAGGAGAGAUACAUUAAGUGUGAAAUACAGAAGGUGUUAUGUCCUGCCCCAAGAGGAAAGCCCAUCAACACCAGACAAACUGUUGUGAAACAUCAAAAAAGACAAAAGACUUUAUUUGCUCCCGCGGCUCCUCCCUCUCCCCCACAAUGAAGAGGAGACAUACAAAAGAAUUGUUCCCAUCAGCUGAGUUGGCAGUUUGAAGCAGUAUGGGGGAAGGGAGGAAAACCCCCUAACAAGGAGGAACUGUAACUCUGUGCUGCUUGGACUCUUGAGGGCAAGGUUUUCUGGGCAUAAGCAAGAGAUCCCUGGAUUAGCCCUGAAGGACAUAUAGGGCUUGCUUAUUAUAGAAGCUGCUAUUACCUUUUGAACUUAAAGAUUGGAACUCAUUUGUGUGCAUGU